AAUACUAGUUAAUUUCAAACAUAUUUAUAGGCUUUUGAAGAACUGGAAGACUCUUGGGUGCAAGAAUCUUCAAAUCUAAAAACUAUCAUCAAUAAACUAUCGAGCGAAAAUAACAUUUUGAAGCAGACAUUAGCUGAAAAGAAAGAUGUUCCCAUUGAAGUUGAUCAUGCUUUGAAAUCUGUGAUUAAAGAUCAAGAAAAGGUAAUAUCCAAAUUGAAGUCAAAUUUAAAACAGAAAGAUGACAGAUUUGAGAAAGAUCAAGCUACUUUGGAUUCUAUGAAUGCUAAAAUUAUACAUCUCAGUAAAGUAAACACUUCAUUACAUCUGCGUUAUCAAGAGGCCCAAAAAGUCAUUGCAGCUUAUAAGGAAGAGAAAAGGCAAUCUGAAGAAAAAAUAACUU